rnacentral:SRP_RNA from 1 species
CCAUACCAGCCGGGGAAUUAGCGGAGCCCUGUACCUGAAAUCCGCUACAGCAGGGGUUCAUUCCUUUCUUGAGGAUGGAUCUGAUACGGCUUGAGUCGUACCUGCUGCGUUGAAGGGCGGGUCUUGCGCAAUCAGGCGCUGUGAACCAUGUCAGGUGGGGAACCAAGCAGCAUUAAGCGGAUUGUCUGAUGUGCCGUGAGGUAGCCUGCUCGGAGCAGAUAGGUACGAAGAUCACGUAGAGGUGAAGUUCGAUCCAAAGGUGUAUGG